GAUGAACGCUGGCGGCGUGCUUAACACAUGCAAGUCGAACGAAGCACUUUAUUUGAUUUCCUUCGGGACUGAUUAUUUUGUGACUGAGUGGCGGACGGGUGAGUAACGCGUGGGUAACCUGCCUUGUACAGGGGGAUAACAGUCGGAAACGGCUGCUAAUACCGCAUAAGCGCACGGCAUCGCAUGAUGCAGUGUGAAAAACUCCGGUGGUAUAAGAUGGACCCGCGUUGGAUUAGCUAGUUGGUGAGGUAACGGCCCACCAAGGCGACGAUCCAUAGCCGACCUGGGGGGGUGACCGGCCACAUUGGGACUGAGACACGGCCCAAACUCCUACGGGAGGCAGCAGUGGGGAAUAUUGCACAAUGGGCGAAAGCCUGAUGCAGCGACGCCGCGUGAGCGAAGGAGUAUUUCGGUAUGUAAAGCUCUAUCAGCAGGGAAGAUAAUGACGGUGCCUGACUAAGAAGCACCGGCUAAAUACGUG
rnacentral:rRNA from 1 species